rnacentral:rRNA from 1 species
GUGCCAGCCGCCGCGGUAAUACGUAGGGUGCGAGCGUUAAUCGGAAUUACUGGGCGUAAAGCGUGCGCAGGCGGUUUGCCAAGUCCGAUGUGAAAGCCCCGGGCUCAACCUGGGAAUGGCAUUGGAAACUGGCCGGCUGGAGUAUGGCAGAGGGGGGUGGAAUUCCACGUGUAGCAGUGAAAUGCGUAGAGAUGUGGAGGAACACCGAUGGCGAAGGCAGCCCCCUGGGCCAAUACUGACGCUCAGGCACGAAAGCGUGGGGAGCAAACAGGAUUAGAAACCCCGGUAGUCC